UGCGUUAUCUCUUAGAACGGUGUUGUCUGUGGCUUGUGAUUAUAAUAAGAGUAAAAAUGAAUUUUGUCAGAGUGUUCGUGCGUAAUAUGAGCCACAAGAAAUGGGAGCCGCUAAAAGGCGUCGGCAUCAUCGGUGUGCCUUUUGAGAAAGGCCAAAAGAAAUAUGGAGUGAGCGUCGCGCCGGCCGCUAUGCGCUCUGCUGGUCUUAUUGAGCAUCUUAAAGAAAUAGAUGGUCUCAACGUCGUGGACUAUGGCGAUAUCGAGACGGUAUCUUCGAAGCAGUCCGUUGCGGUGAACAACAUGUCACAUCUGCCGACAGUGUCGGCCUGCAACGAGCAACUCUCUGAACGUGUAUCACAAGUGCUUCGAGAUGGACGAAUAGCCGUUACUAUAGGUGGAGAUCAUUCUAUCGGAGUUGGCACUGUAGACGGUCAUUACAAAGUAAACGAAGACAUGAUCUUGAUAUGGGUGGAUGCACAUGCCGACAUCAAUACUAAUAAAACUUCCGAAUCGGGGUCAGUGCACGGGAUGCCAGUUGCUCUGCUUGUAAAAGAGCUAUCAGAUUACUGGCCGUACCUACCAACGAUGGAUUGGCAAGUUCCCAAAUUUUCAAUAAAGAACUUGGGAUAUGUCGGUCUUCGAUCUGUGGACAAAUAUGAAAGAUUGGUUAUUGAAAAGUACAAUGUACCGACAUUCGCCAUGGAAGAUAUUGAAGAGUUUGGUAUAAAAAAUUCCAUCAAUCACAUACUGCAAACUUUGGACCCUUGCUUGAAUAAGCCGAUCCAUGUAAGCUUUGACAUAGAUUCACUCGAUGCAUUAGAAGCACCAAGCACCGGUACUCCAGUUCGAGGCGGUCUCACACUCCGUGAGGCGAUCAAUCUGAUGGAGAUUAUUUACUCGACGGGCCGACUACGAGCUAUAGACCUAGUAGAAAUAAACCCAGCUCUUGGUAACGAUUCGGACCGAAAACGUACUAUUGAAGCAGGUCUCGCGGUCUUGCGAGCCGGUUUAGGAUUCUCAAGAAAAGGCACAGCGCCUAGAGGAAUACUGGACUUACCUAUACAAACACACCAUGAAGAGGACUACUUAUCGAAAGCAAAACAAAAUUAAGAUUUUUGAUUAACAAUAUAAACUAGAUAAAAGAUGUAAACUAAAUUAUUAAGUCAAAUGUGACAUCGUAAAAUAACGCCUCAACAAAUUGAACAGCAAAGUCAUUUUUAACAUUGCGAUUAAAUUGAAAUCACAUCGAAUAGACGCCGAAUAUGAGAUUCUAUUAACAAUAACUAUUACAAAUGCUUUGGAAUCGAAGAAAGAAAAUACAGAUGAAGAGAUUAAAAGAAUCAUUAUGAAAUAUAUAGACAGAGUACCAGAUGUGGAACCGAAAUACGUUGUUAACGAGGGAUUG